UACGUAGGGUGCGAGCGUUAAUCGGAAUUACUGGGCGUAAAGCGUGCGCAGGCGGUUUUGUAAGCCAGAUGUGAAAGCCCCGGGCUUAACCUGGGAAUGGCAUUUGGGACUGCAAGGCUUGAGUUUGGCAGAGGAGACUGGAAUUCCUGGUGUAGCAGUGAAAUGCGUAGAUAUCAGGAGGAAUACCGAUGGCGAAGGCAGGUCUCUGGGCUAGAACUGACGCUCAUGCACGAGAGCGUGGGGAGCAAACAGG
rnacentral:rRNA from 1 species